CAGUAGGUGGCUUAGUGGUUAGAGCUCUUGCUUUCCGGUACAAGGACGUGAGUUUGAAUCCACCCUCCUAC
rnacentral:tRNA from 1 species